UAUUAUUAUUUUUUUGUCUUUUUCACUGACUCAAAAAAGUACCCUCAGAUGCAUUAUGACUGUAGACCGGUGAAAUCUUUCUUUGUGAUGGAAAAAACCCAAUUUGAAUACUUUCUGUGAGAAAAUGAAACCAAAAAGUGGAAUCUUUUUCUAACCUCAAUCAUUUUUGAGGCCCAGAUAAAAUACAGUGCACAGCAUCUCAACCAACAUGCUGAUUGACAUUAGAAAUGUUGUCUCGUAUUGGUUCCUGUAGUAGCAGAGCAACAUUUCUCUGGUGAGUUUCACUGAGCUUACAUCACCGCCCUGUGUGUGAAUCACUCGAGGGUUUGGCUCGCAAAAAAAUCCAGCAGUACCAGAUCUCAUGGGAGAUGACAAGCUCAGAGAUUACAGUUUAACUGGCCACAACGUCCUCAGGGGCAUAUUGGGCAAGCGCUCCACGAUCUUCAAUCUAAAGCUAAGUUUUCAGUUACAGCACAGCAUUUUCUCGAGAGACUGAUCACUGCUUUAAGUCCCUCUGUGCCCGUGCAGGUGAAUUCCUUUUAAAUCACUGUUUCUUUGUUGGCAGAUACAACCGUGCCUCCAUGCAAUGGGACAAAGAGAGUGACUGUAAACUGAAGCAUGCAGCACGAAGCCUGGCUUUUAAGGAAGCAGCAGUACUAGUUGGAGAAGAAAGAUCAGAGAGUUUCUCCCAGAGGGGAGAGAAGAAGCAUGUUUUGAUUCUUCACUCUGAAGGUGGCAGAAUUCAAAGAAGUAAAACUGGAACAACUACUCGGCUGCCUGUGUUCUCAAUGAGGCACAAUCAAUGCAUCCACACAGGAAGUGAUUAGCAGCCCAAAGACACAACAUGAAGCGACUUCAAGCAACAUUGUUCAGUGUGUAGUCCAUACUUUAAGCCAUCUACUCACCAGCCCCUGGUAUCUAAAGGAGUCGUACACGCUCCGGAUGAAGAGCCAGAAUGGCCAGAGGUACUCAAACCUGAAUUC